GUAAAUAUAGUUUAACAAAAACAUUAGAUUGUGAAUCUAAAGAUAGAGGUUUAUACCCUCUUAUUUACC
rnacentral:tRNA from 1 species